ensembl:lncRNA
GAAAGGAGAGGCGGCCAAAGGGGGAAUUGAUUUUUGGAGUGACCAGAGAGAUAUACCUGCUGGAGCGCGUGCUACAGGUGGACUCCAAUCAAGUUGUAGAAACAUCUCAAGGAUGAUGAAUGGAAACAGGAUGCACCUGAGCUCAUUUCAAGUUGUUUAUUAAGGGCUUGUAAGGCUGUCAAAGAGCUCUCCUCCUUUACCACGCUGCACACGACUGGCUGCGUGUGACGGAAUGCCAGUGUGGGGACCAAGGAUGGAGGUGAGGGGACUAUGGUCCGUCAGCAGUGUGAUUCGUCGGCCAAACAGAAACUGAUGACAUCUCUCAACUCCGUCUUAUCUCCGAACACAAUGGCGAGUGUUUCACACUCUAUCUGUGCAUAGUUAACGUCUGUGAUGCGAAAGAAAUUGGCCUCUCUUUCCACGAUGGCAUGAUGUGUGAGACAACAGCACCAACGUCGUAAGGUGAUGCAUAACAUGCCAACUGUAAUGGCAAGUUAGGGUUGAAGUGGAUGAGAGCCUCUGACUGACCUAAGGCUUCCUCACAUUUGUCUGUCCACCUCCACUGUUUGCUUUUGUUCCAAAGUUAAUGCAGUGGCUUUAACAUUUUAGCUAGGUUUGGCAAACACUUUGCGUAGUACAUCCGCAGAACUAAGAAUGAUCGCAGCUGACUUAUGUUCCAUUUGGAUGGAGCUUCCGCGAUGGCCUUCACCUUUGAUGGCGCCUUGUGGAGCCCUGGAAUGUCGGUAACAGGUACUCAACAGAAGUUCGGGAGGGUUCUUCCGGACCCUCAGACUGUACUCUUCUAGUCUCUGUAGUGUAGUGUCCAGAUGUCUCAGGUGUUCCUGCUCGUCUUUGACGGUGAUGAGUAAAUCAUCGAGUUAACACUGGACCCCAGUGAGCCCACUCAGUAUCUGGUCCAUAGUUCUCUGAAACCAGACCGGAGCUUAGUUGAUUCCAGUAGGAAGCCUCUGGUACCUGUACAGU